AAAGCCGGAUUAAUACCGCAUACGACCUGAGGGUGAAAGCGGGGGAUCUUUCGGACCUCGCGCUAUUGGAGCGGCCGAUGGCAGAUUAGCUAGUCGGUGGGGUAAAGGCCUACCAAGGCGACGAUCUGUAGCUGGUCUGAGAGGACGACCAGCCACACUGGGACUGAGACACGGCCCAGACUCCUACGGGAGGCAGCAGUGGGGAAUUUUGGACAAUGGGCGAAAGCCUGAUCCAGCAAUGCCGCGUGUGUGAUGAAGGGCUUCGGGUUGUAAAGCACUUUUGGCGGGAACGAAAAGGACUGUGCCAAUACCACGGUUCGAUGAC
rnacentral:rRNA from 1 species